rnacentral:rRNA from 1 species
AGAGUUUGAUCAUGGCUCAGGAUGAACGCUAGCGGCAAGCCUAACACAUGCAAGUCGAACGGUAACUUUUGGUGCUUGCACCGAAAGACGAGUGGCGAACGGGUGCGUAACGCGUAUGCAAUCUGCCUUUUACUAGGGUAUAGCCCAGAGAAAUUUGGAUUAAUCCCCUAUAAUAUCAUUUUUUCGCAUGAUUAAAUGAUUAAAGCUUCGGCGGUAAAAGAUGAGCAUGCGUCCUAUUAGUUUGUAGGUGAGGUAACGGCUCACCUAGACUACGAUAGGUAGGGGCCCUGAGAGGGGGACCCCCCACACUGGUACUGAGACACGGACCAGACUCCUACGGGAGGCAGCAGUGAGGAAUAUUGGACAAUGGACGAAAGUCUGAUCCAGCUAUGCCGCGUGCAGGAUGACGGCCCUACGGGUUGUAAACUGCUUUUAUACAGGAAGAAACACCCCGACGUGUCGGGGCUUGACGGUACUGUAAGAAUAAGGAUCGGCUAACUCCGUGCCAGCCGCCGCGGUAAUAC